UAAAAUUUAUUUUAAAAUAUCCAUACACAAUUUUUUCUAUGGCCCCCAGGGGGGGGGGGCCUGUCGCUUUCUCUACCGCGAUAAUAACAUGAUGCAAGUUAUAUGCAAGUUAUUAUUUGUUCGGCGCAGAAAGCUUGUUUAAUCUAGCAGAUCGGAAGAGCA